CCUGUAUGAUAAUGGAGUUAUAUACUUAUAGUAACCUUGUUGAAGUGUUUUUGGAAAUAGAAAAAAUAUUGUAGAAAUUGUUUAAACUCACGUGCCCUUAAACAUCCACAUCCAGCCCAAAACAGCCAACGGCUCUUUUUCCCUUGCUGUUUCCUCUUUUCUCCGUCUCUGUCUCUCUGCUUUUUGAGAAAUAACAAGAAAGAAGGGUAUUUUUAUACCUAUGGCGACCAUUAUUGGGUGCAGGCUGUGGCUGUGGCCGUGGCGCCGAAGCACCCAAACCCUCCUGCUAAGACCGCUGGUACUCAGUCGGUUCUCAAAAGACUAAUGUACAAGUAGAGCCGAUUGUUGACCAAAUCGAUAUGCUUGAUGGUUUCACAGGAAAACUCUGAUUUGGAUGCAACUAAGAGUUCAGUCAGGGUCUUCAACAAAAAACUUGGCAAAAUAAAAAAAGCCAAUUAGAAACAUAUCCAGAAGUUUGGAGACGGUAAGCAAUAUGUAAAAGGUUUUGGAGAACUAGAGAAGCUCUGCUACAAAGUAGUUUUAUAGAGAUCCCUGGCGGUGCUGGUAAGUGAAUAAAAAAAGGUAAGAAGCAAAGGUAACCACUGAAUUUUAAAGGUGGUUGGAGAUGAGAACUUAAAUGGAAGUGUUACCUAGAUGGCAUGGCUUAACAAUUCCUAUUUAGUAAAUUGUUUGUAAAUGUAUGUAAUCAUGCUUUAUUGUUAUAACUAUAAUCAACUAUGCAAUGAUCUAAUGUUUUUGGUGUAUGCGACAAGAUAUAAAUGAUAUAUCAAUGACAUGUUCUCCAUGACUAUAUUUUGGUUAUUUAUUCUUUUGCUUAUGUUGGUGUUUAAUUCUAUUUUUGUUUUUUUGGUUUCUCUCAUGCUUCUUUUAUUUGAACAUUGUUGUUUGGUUGCUUGGAAAAAGAUCAAAAAAUAAAAUUCUUGUGUGUGUGGCUAACCAUUACAUGUGACAGGACAUAUUAAAGAGUGGAGUAUUGCCCAAAUUACAAGGAGUGGAGUAUCAUCCCUCAUUCAAGGGAAAAUGGCUAUUUAGCCUUAUUGUUUGAACUAUGUAGCCAAAUAGCCUCUUUUUCAAACUAUGUAGCAAAAUACCAAUGUUUUAGAACUCGAUAUUGCUAAUGUCGAGUUCUGCCUACUAAUAUCAAGUUCUAUGCAUAUUUUUAGUGGAACUCUACACAAAAUUUCCAAAAAAAUCAAAGUAACAAAAUAUGCAUAUAACUUGACAUUGCUAAUGUCCAGGCAAAACUCAACAUCAACAAUAUUGAGUUCUAAAAUAAGGGUAUUUUGCUACAAAGUUUGAAAGGGUACUGUUUGGCUACAUUCCAAAAUUAAGGCUAAAUAGCCAUUUUUCCCCUCAUUUCCCUAAUUCCUAUAAAAUGUAUGCUCAUAUAUGGAUUGGAGAAUAAUUACUAGUAGUGUAUUUGGGAUGAUGCAAUACAUUUUAUUAAUAAA